GCUAUACAUCCACCUUCGCCAUCCAGCACUUGAUUACCAGGACAUACACAGCCAGAGACACACUGCGUUCUGUACUGUAAGGACCAUGCAGAAAACAUAACUUGACAGAGUGCCCUGAUGGAAGAGUCCAUCUACAGCUGACUUGGACAAUUUGCAUCACUAUGACAAAAGAGAGCAAACUGAAAAGUGAGAACAUGGAAAGGGAGAAUUAAAGAACAUCUUAAGUGGUAUGUUACCCGGUUCUGGUUUUUCUCCAGUGCAGCUCAGCUUUCCAUGGAUGCAAGUGCUACAAGGAAACAGAAAGGAAUUAUAUUUGCUUCUCUUGUUAGGUUUCAGUUUGUUUCCUGAGGAAUUUGAACUAGUGAAAAAUCACCACAUGAUAAAACAGAGAAGCCAUGUCCUUUAGCAGAAUUGUUUGUGCUAUUUACAUGUAUUUUGUGUUAGAGCUGUCCAAAAUACAAAUAUGUUUUAUAUAAGGACAUGUUUGCUCAAUCCAUUUGCCUGAUUAAAAAUUGUCCUUUAGAA